UACGUAGGGCGCAAGCGUUGUCCGGAAUUAUUGGGCGUAAAGAGCUCGUAGGCGGCCUGUUACGUCUGCUGUGAAAUCCCGGGGCUUAACCCCGGGCGUGCAGUGGAUACGGGCAGGCUGGAGGCAGGCAGGGGAGAACGGAAUUCCCGGUGUAGCGGUGAAAUGCGCAGAUAUCGGGAGGAACACCAGUGGCGAAGGCGAUCACCUGGGGUUGUUCUGACGCUGAGGAGCGAAAGCCAGGGGAGCAAACGGG
rnacentral:rRNA from 1 species